CAGAUCUACAGAAACACAAGAAAAAUAUUUCCAUGUGAAAAAUGAUCAGAAACAGCAGUUGAGGAAUAUCAGCGAUUAUUGACAGGCCAGGAUGAAGUAAUAGGAACUAAAUAUGUACUCUCACCUGAAAAAAACAAAAACUGGGAAAACGUACAUUAAAAAAAAAUAAAAACCGCUUUUAAGACACCAGGCGUUGGACAACGUAAGACAAUCAUCUCCAAGAGGUGGGAAACAAACAAGCUUCUACAGGCUGCCCAGAUUCCUUGGCUUCCGGCCCCUUCCACCUUCAGAACUAAAUCUGUUGUGCUGCAGCACUCUGCCUCCCUUUUCCACUUUUGAGGAUUUUGUGACAACUGUGGGCCCACCCAGGUAAUCCAAAAUCUCCCUAUUUGACUUACUUAUUUUGCCUGCCUUCUUU